rnacentral:snRNA from 1 species
GUUUGUUCCGGGAACAUAUACUAAAAUUGGAACAAUUAACAAGACGAACAAAGAGGAUUAACAUGGCCCCUGCGCAAAGAUGACACGCAAAUUAGGUUUUUUUCACAAAAUUGA